rnacentral:rRNA from 1 species
GGCUAGCGUCAGCUCUCACCUUUGUGACAUACCCAACUGUUGCUUCGGCGGGUCGGGGCGCCCUCCCGGGGGCGCCCCCCAGGCCCGGCCCCUCCCGGGGCCGAGCGCCCGCCGGAGGAUCACCCAACUCUAUUUUAACGACGUUUCUUCUGAGUGGCACAAGCAAAUAAUUAAAACUUUUAACAACGGAUCUCUUGGUUCUGGCAUCGAUGAAGAACGCAGCGAAAUGCGAUAAGUAAUGUGAAUUGCAGAAUUCAGUGAAUCAUCGAAUCUUUGAACGCACAUUGCGCCCGCCAGCAUUCUGGCGGGCAUGCCUGUUCGAGCGUCAUUUCAACCCUCAAGCCCGGCUUGGUGUUGGGGCACUACGGUCGACGUAGGCCCUUAAAGGUAGUGGCGGACCCUCCCGGAGCCUCCUUUGCGUAGUAACUAACGUCUCGCAUCGGGAUCCGGAGGGACUCCUGCCGUAAAACCCCCACACUUUUUCUGGUUGACCUCGGAUCACGUAGGAAUACCCGCUGAGCUUAAGCAUGUCAAUAAGCGGGAGGAAA